rnacentral:sRNA from 1 species
UUGCGCAGCUGGACGGCCGACAUCCUUUUCCGAUUGGAGAGAAGUCGCUGGCGUUGGAGUCUGUGUCUUUGCCUCCCCAGAGGCUGGACAUAUGUAUGAUUAGAACUAAUCAUUCCGAAGUGUCUCUGAUGUAUUUCUUUCAUGGCUUCUCCCCCAUAACCGACUUACUCCUGUCGUCUUUCUCUUGCCAGCCAGUUCCAUUCCAUCGCCAGUUACACCAGGUCGGCGGUUUCAGCAAGGGGUAGAUAGCGAGCAUUGCUCUCUUGUAUAGGGUGUCAAUAUCCAUUUGAUGCCCGCGGAAUGGUAUGAUAUUAUAGGUUUGGUGUUUGUGUGUUCAAUAUAACCAAGAUGUACGAGGUGGAAGUUGUAAAGAAGUGGAAGAAUUCGAGUGCAAGAAAUAACCAUUGAGGUCCAAAAGAAGUCAACGAGGGAAAAUACGAGAAAGGAGGAAAGUGAUGAAAC